GACGAACGCUGGCGGCGUGCUUAACACAUGCAAGUCGAACGGAAAGGCCCUGCUUGCAGGGUGCUCGAGUGGCGAACGGGUGAGUAACACGUGGGUGAUCUGCCCCUUACUUUGGGAUAAGCCUGGGAAACUGGGUCUAAUACUGGAUAGGACCAUGCUGUAGGUGGUGUGGUGGAAAGAUUAGUUUCGGUAAGGGAUGAGCUCGCGGCCUAUCAGCUUGUUGGUGGGGUAAUGGCCUACCAAGGCGUCGACGGGUAGCCGGCCUGAGAGGGUGGACGGCGACAUUAGGACUGAGAUACGGCCCAGACGCCUACGGGAGGCAGCAGUGGGGAGUAUUGCACAAUGGGGGGAAGCCUGAUGCAGCGACGCCGCGUGGGGGAUGACGGCCUUCGGGUUGUAAACUCCUUUCAGCCAUGACGAAGCCCUUGUGGUGACGGUAGUGGUAGAAGAAGCACCGGCUAACUACGUG
rnacentral:rRNA from 1 species